AGGGAGGCUCCGGAUGCCAGAGCCGCGGCCGCUGCAGCCGCCACCGCCGCGAGAAGCGCCGCUGGGAAGCCCGGGUCGCGAGGGGCCGGAAGGUGCCGCGUGCGCUGCCGCGCGCUGAGCGCCCUCCUGAGCGCCGUGUGAGGUCCUGAUUGCCUGGACUUCUCUUCUCCAGAGUUAAAGACACAAAGCCCGAAAGGCCCCUCAGGUUCCUUGGAGCUACUGUGAAUGUAUGUUCUCUGAAUCAUAUCUGAGGUCCUUAUCUCAGGCCUGGCAAUCCUGGUCAUUUGAUGCUCAAUGGGAACAGUCCUGCUUUCCAGAGUCUGCCCAGACA
rnacentral:lncRNA from 1 species